rnacentral:rRNA from 1 species
GACGAACGCUGGCGGCGUGCUUAACACAUGCAAGUCGAACGGAAAGGCCCUGCGUUUGUGGGGUGCUCGAGUGGCGAACGGGUGAGUAACACGUGAGUAACCUGCCCUUGACUUUGGGAUAACUUCAGGAAACUGGGGCUAAUAUCGGAUAGGAGCUCCUGCUGCAUGGUGGGGGUUGGAAAGUUUCGGCGGUUGGGGAUGGACUCGAGGCUUACCAGCUUGUUGGUGGGGUAGUGACUUACCAAGGCUUUGACGGGUAGCCGGCCUGAGAGGGUGACCGGCCACAUUGGGACUGAGAGACGGCCCAGACGCCUACGGGAGGCAGCAGUGGGGAAUAUUGCACAAUGGGCGGAAGCCUGAUGCAGCAACGCCGCGUGCGGGAUGACGGCCUUCGGGUUGUGAACCGCUUUCGCCUGUGACGAAGCGUGAGUGACGGUAAUGGGUAAAGAAGCACCGGCUAGCUACGUG